rnacentral:rRNA from 1 species
UAAAGUGACUCCUGGCAAUGGAUAUCUUGGCUCUUGUAUCGAUGAAGAACGCAGCAAAAUGUGAUACUUGGUGUGAAUUGCAGAAUCCCGUGAAUCAUCGAGUUUUUGAACGCAAGUUGCGCCUGAGGUCCUUAUGAUCAAAGGCAGAUCUACUUGGGCGU